rnacentral:rRNA from 1 species
CUGACACAGGGUGCUGCAUGGCUGUCGUCAGCUCGUGUCGUGAGAUGGUUGGGUUAAGUCCCGUAACGAGCGCCAACCCUUGUCCUUAGUUACCAGCACGUUAUGGUGGGCACUCUAAGGAGACUGCCGGUGACAACCGGAGGAAGGUGGGGAUGACGUCAAGUCAUCAUGGCCCUUACGGCCUGGGCUACACACGUGCUACAAUGGUCGGUACAAAGGGUUGCCAAGCCGCGAGGUGGAGCUAAUCCCAUAAAACCGAUCGUAGUCCGGAUCGCAGUCUGCAACUCGACUGCGUGAAGUCGGAAUCGCUAGUAAUCGUGAAUCAGAAUGUCACGGUGAAUACGUUCCCGGGCCUU